AUUUAAGCAGAUCUCUAACAGUCUCUCUAUUCUGUCAGACUUUAUAAUACGGAGCUGGAACUUUCUGGUGGAUUUUAGUUUUUCCAGCGUUUAACAUUUGUUCUGUUUCUCCAAGUUUAUCUGAAAAUCAGAUUUCCGUGGCACCAGAGUUAAACGCCUUUCCCGUCCUCCCCUUCCACAGUGUGUUUGCUGCUGCAGGGAGAACCGCUCCACCUGUGGGCUGUUAGCUUAAGUAAGGUGAGUGGGUGUGUUUUCCGGUUAUAUCAGCGCUGGGUGCUCAUGGGAAGGGCAGUAAAAGGCACUGCAGGUGGUGGAGGGGCUGAAAUGGCCACGCUGGUUGUUUUGAUAGAAUAAAACUGGCCUGAGGCGGCGAGCGGCGGAUGGAUGGCUGUGGUGUAGAUUUAGUGUUAUUAUUGAGAGAGGCAGAAAUGGUGUUACACUCCAACAUGCGCACAGGCGUGGGAUUGAUAUCUGUAACCUAUUGGUGAGAUAGCAGCUCUGCCCUGCAGGACUGAUUGCUUUAUUUGGAGGACCAUAAAGCUACGACAGGUUAAGACAACAUGGAGCACAGUGAGCGAUGUGGAGAUUACACUGAGAUUAAAGGUGCAACACGCUGAAUUUUUAAUGCAAUCAGUGCACAGAAGUCAUAUUCGUUCACCUUUCUGUACAAAACACACGUGUGAAGAUCGGCAGUUUGCUAUAAAUAAAAAAAAUUAAUAAAAAACAUCCUCUAAUCUGCUGUUGCUCCAUGAGCCUUUGUACUUCCUGAUCUAGUUUAAUUAACGGUAUUGUUCACAGCUCUCACUCACAUCAGGACAGAGUCAUUCAUGAUUCACACACUGGAUUAAAGCAACACUCUGUUUUUCCUGGACAGCCAUGAAAAAACAUCUGUCUGUCCGGAGAGGCCGUGUGGGUGAGCGGCUCUGCAGAGCUGCAGGAACAGCAGGAGAAACUACACCUUCACCUUCUGGAGGAGUUAUGUUUGAGAGGAUCUUAGGUCCAAAACACCGACCACUAAAGGACCACUGUUUAUCGUAAUUACAGUACUAUGAUAUAUCUAUGUGAUUAUAUUAUAACAAGUCUAUAAUAGGAUAUUAUCACAAUUACAACUUUGUUAUUUAUCAUGAUAUCAAAUCCACGCUGUGAUAUCUGUAACUAUAUGAAAGUUUG